UACCCCUUCUUGAAUUCUUCACAUGUAGGGGGCGCAUCUGUCAUAUUUUGUACAUAACUGGAUGUAAUCCCAUCACAAUAUUAUAUGCAAUGUAUGAUCUAAAGAUUUUAAUAAAGACUAGGCUUAGCGAAUCUGGGAGAAAGGCCAUCAGAGAAAAAAGAUCAUUAGCAGGUUUUCAUUAUCCAGGAAGCAAAAGUUAUUACCCAGGAACUCAUAAAACUGAGUUCAAGAACCUCUUCUUCCGGGAGCAUGUUAAAACAACACAAAGGAAUAGCUAAGAUCCAAUCAGAGUCCAGGAGGACUAGCUAAGAGCCAAUGAGAAACGGCCACGAGUCGACAGUCAUCCAUUGAGAACAUUGAAGAGUUAACGAGUUAAAUCUCGGACUCAGGUUAAUCAGUCGGGACCUGGACAGCAUCGAGAGCAGUUAGCAUCUGGACCUACCAAGGAACAAGUUGGAGCUCGCCACCAUCUUCUCAGCACUCAGAUAAGUCCAAUGUUCAGUAUGUGAAUCGCCUAAUCACAUUAGUCAAGAAACGCCAAUCGCCUAAACCCCUUUCUCCCUUGAUCGCUGGCCUAUUUCAAUCCAAUCCUAUGUCCUCGUUAUUUUCCCCUGUGUGAAUACCUUACUAUUUCAGCAAACACGACUGCGCCCACCACAAUCAUCAAUCAAUCAAUCAAACAACUCAAUCAACCGCACCAAAAAAAGCAAUGUAUAUUACAUAUACAUAUAUAUAUAUAUAUAUAUAUAUAUAUAUAUAUAUAUAAUAAUAAAUAGUUAUUUAAUUUUAUAGUCCAGUUUUGUAUUAAGAUUAUCUUCACUAUUAUGAUCAUUUAAAUACAAAUUAUAAAAUUUUGUAAAAUGUUAUUAAUUUGUAGAUAGAGAGAGAAAAAAAAAAAAAAAAAAAUUCCUUUACUUCUAUUACAUCCUCAAGUUAAUUAUAUAAUUAUAAUUAAUAACAAUAAAAAAAUUAACAAAGUAACGUCUAUUACAUCGGCUUUUACACGUCAUUCAGACAUACUCUAAUCCUAUAUAUAGAAUAAUCGAAGAGAUAAUAUAUAUAAUAGUUAGAAAAAAGAUAGAAAGACAGAACCAUGCACUUUUAAUCAAACUAAUAAUAAGGAAAAGAAAAAAAAAACAAAAAAGAGUUUUAUAAAGAAGGUAGAUAAGAUUGUUAGUAUAUAUAUAUAUAUUUUUUUAUGAUUUUAUAUUUUAUCCUUUUUUUUUUUUUUUAAAGAUUUUUAAAGGUUUUUUUAUUUUAUAAUAUGAUUAUAAAUAGUUGUAUUUAGUAAUAUAUCUAUAGUAUGAAUUAACAUUUGUUAUAAGUUUGGAUAUUAUGUUUUGAAACCCUAAUGGUAGACCAGACAUACACAAAAAACUUUAAAUUGAAAUAAAUUGGAAAAAGAGAUCUGCUGGAACGGGGAUCAUCAGAUAAAAUUCCAGCGACAUUUCAACCCCUUCUUUAUGUAUAUAUAUAUAUAUAUAUAUAUGUAUAUAUAUAUAUAUAUAUAUAUAGUGUGAAAAAUAAAGUACAAAAGUGAAAUUUUAUUGAGUUCAGGUAUAUAAAUUAAGAAAAAGGCAUCUCCUGAUCGUGCAAAUAAAGGUUUUUAUGGCUUGCGCCAUUUUAUUUUUCGGAAUAAAAUCUUCCUUUUUCUGAAUACAAAGGGCACUAUAUAAGUUUUACAAUACGCUCCAACCCGUACGGGCGGCACGUGGGCACGAGUUCGAACUUAUUUAGCCCUGGUUAUAUUUGAACUGCAGUCAAAAUUUAAUUUGAUAGAUGUUAGUAUUCUUUUAACUGUGGAGUGAUAAAAUUUAAAAAAUGUCUAGCUGGUGCCAAAUUGAAUACCGAGCCAUUUUAUGAUAUAAUUUUGAACCAUGUUUCGGCAUUGAAGAAUGCUUGCAAGUAAUGACUCCUGUACUGGGAAAUGAUGUCCACAUAUUACUACCGUGUUAGGGUGGUACCCGUGAGGAAAUUCUGGCAUAAGAGACGCGCCAAGGUAAGGACGUUCAGCUUCCUCAGUUAAUGAGAGAACUGGACACAAGGUAUCUGAUGGAAUCUUACAAGUCUGCCUUUGGCUGACAAGGGCCAUUAGCCCGAAACAAUGGUCUCUAGGUGGAUGCUUUUCAGUUUUCCAAAGCUGGUCUUGUGGCUUUGUCACGGCCCGAGGCCGCUAGUUUGCUGCGACGGUCAUAUAAUAAAUAGUAUUAGAGCCAUAGAAUAGCAACACCGAAGUAAUACAUUAUCACAGGCAAAAAGUAUGUGUGAUGUCAAAAAAUGCAAUAUAUUAGUAUUUAGGUAUUUUAUUUAUUUAUUUUUCAAUCCAUUUAGGUGUUUUAAAUAUAGUUCAAAUAGUUGGCAGAUUUUCCACCCAACCUCCGAGGUACCCGCCCCUGCGUGUUAACUCUUAUAUAUAGUGGUGCAUCCUCUGUAGGUCUAUUACACUCUUUGGGUAAAAAGGGAUAGGGAUUUAAAUUGCUUGAGAAGAGUGACCGUGAUUGACCAAGCCUGGCCAGCAGCCUGUAAUCUAAUGUUUUCAGACCCCAGUCAAACAUUCGUAGAUGUUUUUCUGAAAAAAAUAAUAGAAAAAAACUAAUAUUUAUAUAAAUUAUAAUAAUCUGUAACUGUCCUUAAAUAUUCUAAUUCUAGAAAUGUUACCUCUCAAAUAUAUACAAAUAUAUACAGUAAAACCCCUCUAUAGUGAACCCUAUAGCAUGUGCCUUGGACUGCCCACAAAGGAAGAAGGAAGAAUAACUUGUCUUCCAAUAAGGGCAUGACUCCUGUCAGUGCGAAUAGCAUCUAACAGAUUGAUGUAUUCGGUUGCACGAAGUUGAGCUUGAUGCGCUGAGAUGUAAUGCAGCCUUUCAGAUUCCACCUUGGCAUAAAUGUCGACCAGAAUUUGAUGGGUCAAAUCUCCAAAAGCCAGUAACCAAUUUGUUAUGCCAGGAUUACGGCUACGAAUCAUUAGCAGUGAAGCAUAAAAAUCCAUGCAAGAAACCGUCUUGUGCGCCGAAGGAACCUCAUCAAUCAGCUGAGGGAUAUGGAAAUGAUAACCAUCUUGACCAUUCCAAAAAACCAAUGGGUAUUGCAGGGCGUCAUAAGACCUGUGAAACUCGUUAAUCCUCUGCACACCACUGCCUCUUUUGGAAAGAACAAUGUCAAGUCUGUCACAGUUUUCCUGCACAAUAACAAUGGCAACCUCAUUAAUGGUUGGAGCAUUGAAUGUGCAAGGAUGGUGUCCAGGCGGUGCUUUGUCAGCCUUAAUGACCAACUUGUAAUCAGGAGAAGGCAUUUUUUCAAUGGAAGCUUUGAACAAAUGGACAUAAGGAUUAUGUCGAUGCAACAUAUCUUGAAAAAUGCUAACAAUGUGGGGCUUAGUGAUGGGAAAGUUUCUAUGGCGGGUGGCAACCUCUGCACUACUAUCUCCGAUGAAGAAAACCUGAAGGAAUGCUGGCUGUAGUUGACGGCUAUCAGAGUUGAGUGGUGGCAAAAUAGAGCCAAUUCUAUGAUAGACCUGGCCUUGGACCUUAAACGUUGGCAUGUAACCUGGCAACACAACACGACUACCACACCCAAAAGAUGUCAUUUGGAAGCCAUUGUUAUAGUGACGGACACGUUGCAUGAACUCAGCCGAGUGAGGAGAAGACCCAUCGAGCAGAGUUCUGAGAGCUUCUGGGGGUUCAGGUAAAUCAGGAAUUCUGACCUUCCCUGCAGAACAGCACAUUCCAGGCCGCUCACCAUUAUACAUAAAGGCAGUACAAUGUAGACAUUACAAAACUAUUCUAGACCCGUAAUAUUCUUUUUAAAAUAAAACAAUUUCUACUGCCCUUACUGCAAUGGAAAAAUUAAAGGGAGGGCCUUCCAUUGCAGUAAGGGCAGUAGAAAUUGUUUUAUUUUAAAAAGAAUAUUACGGGUCUAGAAUAGUUUUGUAAUUUGAUAACAGAUGGCGCGCUAGUGCAUUGUAAAAUAAAUGUAGACAUUGUUUAUCCAUAUGGCCAAUCUGAAGAAAAGUAAAUUGUUCAUAAUUCAGGGCCGGAUUGUAAUGGAAAGCAGCAUUGAGCAUAUCAGCCUAAGUGCUAGCUCGUUGCCUGAAGUGCCGCAACCGGUCAGCCUCCUGUCGUGUUUGGGACUGCUGGGGAGUCUCUGAUGCGCGUUGAACUCUGUGGCGCAGCUGGUCACUUUGGAGGCGGGCUUGAUCUGUUGGGGAUUCUCCAAUGUGCGGCUACUUUGGCAUCUAGCAGCUCGGGCAGCCAUGCGGCGAGCUGCAGGAGUUCUUACUCCAAUUGCAGAUCUUUUGCGAGGCAUAUCAAAUGGGAUGAUUAAAUUUGAAAAUGUGUCCUAAAAAACAGAAAUAGCACAAUCAGUACCAAAAAUAUUUUUGUAUAUAUAAAAAAAGGCUUUUAAGGAAAACAGUGCAGACCCAAAACAAAUCCAAAGUAUCAGAAUAUGUUACAGAACAAAACUGAUUAUCUAGUAGAAAAGGCAGAAGUAUGUUGGAAAUAUUGUGGCGAAGAAAUAUUUUAUUAUUUAAUUUAAUAUUAUUCAAUGAAAAUAUAUUCAACAGAUUAUAAAAAUAUAUAUUAAUCUGUUUUUGUGAAAUCAUCUUAAAAUAUUUCUUUGCUUACUUGCUUAAGAUUCUCUAGCUGUAAAUAGUUUUGGGGGGCUGACCUGUUAAUAAUUGUCGACUCGUCGCUGUGACGUCAUCAAUAAAUACUUUUACAUCUUCGGAUAUUUCAAGGCUUGAUUUCUACGCUACAACUGGUGGAGAGACUGGACCGAUACCCAUUAAGAAAUAAAAGAAAAAUUGAUUCUGUUGAACCAGAAGAAACUUCUAUGAAUGUAAAGAAGGAAGGUACUCAGGUAAGCAACUACGUUGUUCAACAUCUUCCAAGGAACCCUUCCAUUUUCUCAGGGGAGGAUGGUGAAGAUCUCCAAAAAUGGUUAAAAGGGUAUGCACGUGUGGCAAGGUACAACCAUUGGGACGAAACCCUUUGUCUUACUAAAGUUUAUUUUUAUCUGUCUGGAACUGCUCUCAAAUGGUUUGAGAACAACGAAGAAAGCAUAGAGACUUGGAAGGAAUUCACAUCUCAAUUAGAGAAUGUGUUCGGAAAAAAAGAAAAUUCAAAAUUGCAAGCGGAGAAGAAACUUAAAACACGGGCACAAUUAAAAGGGGAAAGUACCGAAUGUUACAUCCAGGAUGUCCUGUGCUUGUGCAAAGAGGUUGAUCCUCAAAUGAGCGAGGAAGAUAAAAUCUCCCACCUCAUGAAGGGGAUAGCUGAGGAGCUUUAUCAAGCACUCCUACCGAGGGAUGUACAGAGCACCGAGCAAUUCAUUACAGAAUGUCGCCGUGUCGAAACGCUCCGCUGUAGGCGAGUUACCCCAACCAAGUACGAGCGCCUACCAAAUGUAGCCUCUCUCUGUGACCAGGAUGACGGAGAAGAUCUGUCAUCGCUGAUCCGAAAAAUUGUUCGUGAAGAGAUACAGCAAGCAUUGGACUCUCCUCAUGAGGAGCCUAAAAUCGCUGUCAUUGAAGAUUUAGUGAGGGAAGAGAUUGUAAAGACCUUGGCACCUAGAUCAAAACCUACAAUAAAUCCCCCUCAAGCAUCCAGACCGGAAUCAAAUACUAGAUACGAGGCCCAAACGAUACGACCGCAUCCUGAACCUCAUUACCGAAAGCAAGGAAGAAGAUGUGACACCAAUGAAUGGCGGACAACUGAGGGAAAGCCAAUCUGUUUCUACUGCGGACGCCCAGGUCACGUCGUCCGCUAUUGCCGCGACAGGAAGAGACACAAUGAGGAAAGGAGAAAAGAAUAUUUCCAAAGAAAGCAAGACGCAAUGGUAUUCUACAACUUUCGAGCCGAAUCUCAGGACCCCAAUGACGAAUCAUCGAGGAAAAAUUUCACUCGCUACCGAAGCCCUACCUCAUAUCCCGGUCGAAACAGACAACAUUUCUCACAUGCUAGAAGAUCUAGCUGGACGCCCCGCCAUUAAAACUAGAUGAUAGCCCAUAUGGGAGGUAAGGCCGCAAAUUUAUAAAAUCCUCCCUUGCCGACCACAGUGGAAAUAAAAACUACAAUAACGUAAAUAUAGACCUGCCAAGCCCUCAGGAAGAAGUUAUCUCAACUGAAAUAAGACAUCCCCACUGAACGAACACAACAACCACAGACCCGCGAAGAGGUCUCAGGCCCUAUCACCCGUUCUCGAGCCUUGAGACUGAGGAUGUAAGUCUUCUUCUGAACAUCGGGUCGAUGCUCUUUAUAGGAGGAGGCUAUGUGGCGAAGAAAUAUUUUAUUAUUUAAUUUAAUAUUAUUCAAUGAAAAUAUAUUCAACAGAUUAUAAAAAUAUAUAUUAAUCUGUUUUUGUGAAAUCAUCUUAAAAUAUUUCUUUGCUUACUUGCUUAAGAUUCUCUAGCUGUAAAUAGUUUUGGGGGGCUGACCUGUUAAUAAUUGUCGACUCGUCGCUGUGACGUCAUCAAUAAAUACUUUUACAUCUUCGGAUAUUUCAAGGCUUGAUUUCUACGCUACAAUAUAUAUAGAUAGGGAAAUGGGGCGCACUCAACUAUAGGGAAAAAAAGCAUACUACCCAUCUUAUCAAUAAGGUCUGCCUUUUUAAUAAUAGUAUUAUUUCAUAUUCAAAGAAAGGUAACAAAACAAAGGCCAUCACAACAAUAACUAAACAUAAGAACCCAUUGUCCACACAUAGCAUCAUUAAGUUUGUAAAUAUCAAAACUACAUUGUUCACUAACCAUAACUUGGUGACUAAAACAAAUUUCUCUCUCAACAUUUCAGCAGAAAAAAAAUAAGGCUAAAAAAACUAAUGGCAAAACAUGUCAAACAGGUCAAUCUUUAGAAUGCUCAACUAUUUUUUUCCCUAGCCUAAUAUCUGCGUAGACAAAAAGAAAGCAGCAUAAUAGAACUACCACAAACAAAAUAUACAGAAAUGGCAAGCGAAUAAAACAGUCAAAUAAUUGGAAGGGUGAGGAGACAGCCUCUCUAAUAUAAUUCCCCAUCUCUCUCAGUAAGAAAAAAAAAUAGGCUUAUAAAAACGCAAGCCAAAAUACAGUCAUGUUAAUGAAUGUCAAUAAAUGUUCAGUAAAAAAUAAAAGGGCACAUGGAACUUAGCAAAUAUAUGACAACAACAGACUAAAUUUUAAACUAUCAAUGAAACAUAUGAUUUUUUAAAAAUAAUAACAAAACAAAGGCCAUUACAACAAUGACAAAACAUAAGCCCAUUGUUUACAUACUGUAAUAAAAGUUUGUAAAUGUUGUCAAAUCUGCAUUGUUUACUGUGCUGGGAACAUUGGAUGUUUUCCCACGUGCCGCGGUGGAGCGUGACCGUGACUGCACGGGUGGGUAGUUGUUGUUUUGAACUCUGUAUGGAUGGACAUUAAAACAUGGUGGCAGCGAUAACUGGAUAAAAUACGUACCCGUAUAUUGCAAAAUAUCGAAUUUUGUGUACCUUGGAAGAUAAUUCAACAUGGCUCAGAUUCAACCUCCAGAAACUUUCGACUUCUCGACUCCCAACGAAUGGCCCAAAUGGAGGAAGAGAUUAGAACGAUACCUCGUGGUCAGUGGAAUGAAGAAGAAAGAGGAGGCGGACAAGAUCGAUUUGUUCAUGUACUUGAUGGGUGACCGCGCGGAUGAUAUAUUCAGGACCUUCAAGUUCGAAAAGGAGGAAGAGGCAACGAAAAUUGAUUCCGUCCUCAAGGCGUUCGACAGCCACUUCUGUGUCAGAAAGAAUAUUAUCUACGAACGUGCGAAAUUUAAUUCAAGAAUCCAAGAGGAUCAGGAGCCAGUGGACGAAUUCAUCACUUCAUUGUACAAAUUGGCUGAUAGUUGCGAAUUUGAGGGUCUUCAUGAGCAAUUGAU
rnacentral:piRNA from 1 species